AUUGAACGCUGGCGGAAUGCUUUACACAUGCAAGUCGAACGGCAGCACGGGGCAACCUGGUGGCGAGUGGCGAACGGGUGAGUAAUACAUCGGAACGUGCCCAAUCGUGGGGGAUAACGUAGCGAAAGUUACGCUAAUACCGCAUACGAUCUACGGAUGAAAGCGGGGGAUCGCAAGACCUCGCGCGAGUGGAGCGGCCGAUGUCAGAUUAGGUAGUUGGUGGGGUAAAGGCUCACCAAGCCAACGAUCUGUAGCUGGUCUGAGAGGACGACCAGCCACACUGGAACUGAGACACGGUCCAGACUCCUACGGGAGGCAGCAGUGGGGAAUUUUGGACAAUGGGCGCAAGCCUGAUCCAGCCAUUCCGCGUGCAGGAUGAAGGCCUUCGGGUUGUAAACUGCUUUUGUACGGAACGAAACGGCGAGCUCUAAUACAGUUUGCUAAUGACGGUACCGUAAGAAUAAGACACCGGCUAACUACGUGCCAGCAGCCGCGGUAAACAC
rnacentral:rRNA from 1 species